rnacentral:lncRNA from 1 species
GGAAGCAAUACAAAAAGGCAACCAAUAUCGGAAGGUGAUUUUUCCGAUCAAAAUCUCCGGGCUUUCUUUGUGAUUAUUCUCUCGUUUGGUGUUAUUUUUAUCUUAUUUUAUUUUGAAAAGCAAAUAAAGUAAAGAGGAAAGGAGCUUACCGUGCGAGCAGGCCAUGGAUUUCUCCUCCUUUCUUCGUCGGAAUCGAAGUUGAAGAGGGAUUUCGGGCUAAAAUUCCUCCAGGCUCAAAGAACCCCAUCUGGCGAAGAUGAAUCGGCGUUGGAAGGAGAGGGUUUAAG